GUGGGGAAUCUUGCGCAAUGGGCGAAAGCCUGACGCAGCCAUGCCACGUGAAUGAUGAAGGUCUUAGGAUUGUAAAAUUCUUUCACCGGGGACGAUAAUGACGGUACCCGGAGAAGAAGCCCCGGCUAACUUCGUGCCAGCAGCCGCGGUAAUACGAAGGGGGCUAGCGUUGCUCGGAAUUACUGGGCGUAAAGGGCGCGUAGGCGGACAGUUUAGUCAGAGGUGAAAGCCCAGGGCUCAACCUUGGAAUUGCCUUUGAUACUGGCUGUCUUGAGUACGGGAGAGGUGAGUGGAACUCCGAGUGUAGAGGUGAAAUUCGUAGAUAUUCGGAAGAACACCAGUGGCGAAGGCGACUCACUGGCCCGUUACUGACGCUGAGGCGCGAAAGCGUGGGGAGCAAACAGGAUUAGAAACCCUGGUAGUCC
rnacentral:rRNA from 1 species